rnacentral:sRNA from 1 species
GCUGGGCAAGGAGGCACACGCCUGUAAUCCCAGCGGCUCAGGAGGCUGAGGCAGGAGGAUCGUGAGUGCAAGGACAGCCUCAGCCUCAACAAUUUAGUGAGGCCCUGAGCAAUUUAGCGAGACCCUGUCUCUA